UACGGAGGGGGCUAGCGUUGUUCGGAAUUACUGGGCGUAAAGCGCGCGUAGGCGGCUUUGUAAGUUAGAGGUGAAAGCCCAGGGCUCAACCCUGGAAUUGCCUUUAAGACUGCAUCGCUUGAACAUCGGAGAGGUAAGUGGAAUUCCGAGUGUAGAGGUGAAAUUCGUAGAUAUCAAGUAGAACACCAGUGGCGAAGGCGAGUCCCUGGAAAACUCCUGACACUGAGGCACGAAAGCUAGGGGAGCAAACAGG
rnacentral:rRNA from 1 species